AGAGUUUGAUCCUGGCUCAGGAUGAACGCUGGCGGCAGGCCUAAUACAUGCAAGUCGCACGGGAUCGCGCCUUCGGGUGCGAGAGAGUGGCGGACGGGUGCGCAACGCGUAUGCAACCAGCCCCCCGCGGGCGGAUAGCCGGUGGAAACGCCGGAUAAUACGCCAUGAUGCCGUUUUGGGGCAUCCCAGAGCGGCGAAAGCGGAGACGCGGCGGGGGACGGGCAUGCGUCCCAUUAGCUAGUUGGCGGGGUGAAGGCCCACCAAGGCUUUGAUGGGUAGGGGAUCUGAGAGGACGGUCCCCCACACUGGCACUGAGACACGGGCCAGACUCCUGCGGGAGGCAGCAGUAGGGGAUAUUGGGCAAUGGGCGGAAGCCUGACCCAGCCAUGCCGCGUGAGGGGAUGAGGCCCUACGGGUCGUGAACCUCUUUUAUGCGGGGACAACGCCCCCCACGAGAUGGGGGUUUGAGGGUACCGCAGGAAUAAGCGCCGGCUAACUCCGUGCC
rnacentral:rRNA from 1 species